GAUGAAGAACGCAGCGAAACGCGAUAAGUAAUGUGAAUUGCAGAAUUCAGUGAAUCAUCGAAUCUUUGAACGCACAUUGCGCCCCUUGGUAUCCCGAGGGGCAUGCCUGUUCGAGCGUCAUUUCACCACUCAAGCCUGGCUUGGUGUUGGGCGACGUCCUCUUUGGGGACGCGCCUCGAAACGCUCGGCGGCGUGGCACCGGCUUUAAGCGUAGCAGAAUCUUUCGCUUUGGAAGUCGGGGCCCCGUCUGCCGGAAGACCUGCUCGCAAGGUUGACCUCGGAUCAGGCAGGGAUACCCGCUGAACUUAAGCAUAUCAAUAAGCGGAGGA
rnacentral:misc_RNA from 1 species